CCUACGGUGGGCAGCAGUGAGGAAUAUUGGUCAAUGGGCGCGAGCCUGAACCAGCCACGUAGCGUGAAGGAUGACUGCCCUACGGGUUGUAAACUUCUUUUAUAAAGGAAUAAAGUGAGGCACGUGUGCCUUUUUGUGUGUACUUUAUGAAUAAGGAUCGGCUAACUCCGUGCCAGCAGCCGCGAUACUACGGAGGAUCCGAGCGUUAUCCGGAUUUAUUGGGUUUCAAGGGAGCGUAGAUGGGUUGUUAAGUCAGUUGUGAACGUUUGCGGCUCAACCGUAAAAUUGCAAUUGAUACUGGCAGUCUUGAGUACAGUUGAGGUAGGCGGAAUUCGUGGUGUAGCGGUGAAAUGCUUAGAUAUCACGAAGAACUCCGAUUGCGAAGGCAGCUUACUAAACUGCCACUGACAUUGAUGCUCGAAAGUGUGGGUAUCAAACAGGAUUAGAUACCCGGGUAGUC
rnacentral:rRNA from 1 species